rnacentral:rRNA from 1 species
UGAACGCUGGCGGCGUGCCUAAUACAUGCAAGUCGAGCGAACAGACGAGGAGCUUGCUCCUCUGACGUUAGCGGCGGACGGGUGAGUAACACGUGGAUAACCUACCUAUAAGACUGGGAUAACUUCGGGAAACCGGAGCUAAUACCGGAUAAUAUAUUGAACCGCAUGGUUCAAUAGUGAAAGACGGUUUUGCUGUCACUUAUAGAUGGAUCCGCGCCGCAUUAGCUAGUUGGUAAGGUAACGGCUUACCAAGGCAACGAUGCGUAGCCGACCUGAGAGGGUGAUCGGCCACACGGGAACUGAGACACGGUCCAGACUCCUACGGGAGGCAGCAGUAGGGAAUCUUCCGCAAUGGGCGAAAGCUUGACGGAGCAACGCCGCGUGAGUGAUGAAGGUCUUCGGAUCGUAAAACUCUGUUAUUAGGGAAGAACAAAUGUGUAAGUAACUAUGCACGUCUUGACGGUACCUAAUCAGAAAGCCACGGCUAACUACGUG